rnacentral:hammerhead_ribozyme from 1 species
AUCUAGCUGAAGAGUCACGAGUAGGACGAAACGCGAGUCAAACUGGAU